rnacentral:lncRNA from 1 species
AUUGGUGUCGGCUUAUCAAAAUUCACAUGCGUGACGCUAUCGGAGAUGAUAGGCCUCUUCAUUAUGCUCUCCUCAUCAUGAACUUUCUUGAAGCCAUCGGAUUCGUCACUGGAAAUGAUCCUCUCAAAAAGAGUACCAAAAAGUGGGAAAUUUCGGAAUCCUCCUUUCAUCAUGACGGUGAUCAUGUAGCGCCUGCUCCUCN